rnacentral:rRNA from 1 species
GACGAGGGGUCCUAGCGUUGUUCGGAAUCACUGGGCGUAAAGCGUAUGUAGGCGGGCUUCUAAGUCAGGUGUGAAAUCCCAUGGCUCAACCAUGGAAUUGCAUUUGAAACUGGAAGUCUUGAGUGUGGGAGAGAUUGGUAGAAUACCUGGUGUAGUGGUGAAAUACGUAGAUAUCAGGUGGAAUACCGGUGGCGAAGGCGGCCAAUUGGCCCAACACUGACGCUGAGAUACGAAAGCGUGGGGAUCAAACGGG